rnacentral:rRNA from 1 species
GAUGAACGCUAGCGGGAGGCCUAACACAUGCAAGCCGAGCGGUAUUGUUUCUUCGGAAAUGAGAGAGCGGCGUACGGGUGCGUAACACGUGUGCAACCUGCCUUUAUCUGGGGGAUAGCCUUUCGAAAGGAAGAUUAAUACUCCAUAAUAUAUUGAACGGCAUCGUUUAAUAUUGAAAGCUCCGGCGGAUAGAGAUGGGCACGCGCAAGAUUAGCUAGUUGGUGAGGUAACGGCUCACCAAGGCGAUGAUCUUUAGGGGGCCUGAGAGGGUGAUCCCCCACACUGGUACUAAGACCCGGACCAGACUCCUACGGGAGGCAGCAGUAAGGAAUAUUGGUCAAUGAGUGCAAGCCUGAACCAGCCAUCCCGCGUGAAGGACGACUGCCCUAUGGGUUGUAAACUUCUUUUGUAUAGGGAUAAACCUACCCUCGAGAGGGUAGCUGAAGGUACUAAACGAAUAAGCACCGGCUAACUCCGUG